GCAGAAACAGGGGAAGACGCAAAACAGGGGAGAAGAGAGAAAGAAGAGAAAGGAAAAAGGGAAAAAGGGAAAAAUUUUGGCGCACUCAUGACCCGGACGCCUCAUCAAGCCGACUCAAGUGUGUUUUGCAAGGCCGGUUCUUCAGCGAGUCGCGAGUAGGCGUGAGCGUUCGCUUGGGGAGGACUUUUGUUGUGGAACUUUUUGGUAUGGCUUAUGCAUAGUUCAUAAGUUUAUAAGUUAGUUUUUGUAAAAGGUUUAUGUUUUGAUGUUUGUGGAACAUAUAUAUACUCUGAUAUUGUAACCAAUUGCCCCUUUUUGUCAAAUAUAUAUAUGUGGAUGUAUAUA